CAGCAGCCGCGGUAAGACAGAGGUCCCGAGCGUUGUUCGGAUUCAUUGGGCGUAAAGGGUGUGUAGGAGGCCAGGUAAGUCAGGUGUGAAAUCUCAGAGCUUAACUCUGAAACUGCGCUUGAUACUGCUUGGCUAGAGGAUCGGAGGGAGUAACGGAAUUUAUGGUGUAGCAGUGAAAUGCGUAGAUAUCAUAAGGAACACCGGUGGCGAAGGCGGUUACCUGGAAGAUUCCUGACUCUGAAACACGAAAGCCAGGGGAGCAAAUGGGAUUAGAUACCCCCGUAGUCCCUGUCUCUUAUAC
rnacentral:rRNA from 1 species